GGUUGUGGCUCAGUGGUAGAGCGCUCACCUAGCACAUGUGAGGCACUGGGUUCAAUUCUCAGCACCA
rnacentral:tRNA from 1 species